rnacentral:rRNA from 1 species
GACGAACGCUGGCGGCGUGCUUAACACAUGCAAGUCGAGCGGAAAGGCCCUUCGGGGUACUCGAGCGGCGAACGGGUGAGUAACACGUGAGUAACCUGCCCCAGACUUUGGGAUAACCCUCGGAAACGGGGGCUAAUACCGGAUACGACACAGCUUCGCAUGGGGUCUGUGUGGAAAGUUUUUCGGUUUGGGAUGGGCUCGCGGCCUAUCAGCUUGUUGGUGGGGUGAUGGCCUACCAAGGCGACGACGGGUAGCCGGCCUGAGAGGGCGACCGGCACACUGGGACUGAGACACGGCCCAGACUCCUACGGGAGGCAGCAGUGGGGAAUAUUGCACAAUGGGCGGAAGCCUGAUGCAGCGACGCCGCGUGAGGGAUGACGGCCUUCGGGUUGUAAACCUCUUUCAGCAGGGACGAAGCGUAAGUGACGGUACCUGCAGAAGAAGCGCCGGCCAACUACGUG